CAGUAGCCGCGGUAAAACGGAGGGUGCAAGCGUUAAUUGGAAUUACUGGGCGUAAAGCGUGCGUAGGCGGUUCGUUAAGUCUGUUGUGAAAGCCCCGGGCUCAACCUGGGAAUGGCAAUGGAUACUGGCGAGCUAGAGUGUGUCAGAGGAUGGUGGAAUUCCCGGUGUAGCGGUGAAAUGCGUAGAGAUCGGGAGGAACAUCAGUGGCGAAGGCGGCCAUCUGGGACAACACUGACGCUGAGGCACGAAAGCGUGGGGAGCAAACAGGAUUAGAUACCCCGGUAGUCCCUGUCUCUUAUAC
rnacentral:rRNA from 1 species